CAGGCUUGACAUCCUUGGAAUUUCUCCGAAAGGAGAGAGUGCCUUUGGAACCAAGUGACAGGUGUUGCAUGGCCGUCGUCAGCUCGUGUCGUGAGAUGUUUGGUUAAGUCCAUCAACGAGCGCAACCCUUUUAGUUAGUUGUAUUUCUCUAGCUAGACUGCCCUGGUAACAGGGAGGAAGGGGGGAUGAUGUCAGGUCAGUAUUACCCUUACGUCUGGGGCUACAAACACGCUACAAUGGCCAGUA
rnacentral:rRNA from 1 species